rnacentral:sRNA from 1 species
CCCACGGCUCACGCCGUGGGCUAUUAUCUGCCGCCGCUCCGCGGCU